UGGUGUUGCGCGGAAAGUAAUUCACGAAAACAAAGCCCCGCGCCUGGUCGAUGGCAUGAAACAGCGGGUUCCAGUCGAACAUGGCGAGCAUGAAGCCCGGCAGCGUGUUGGCGACGAACAUCUUGCCCGAUGCGAUCAUGUUGGCCCGCUG
rnacentral:ncRNA from 1 species